GAUGAAGAACGUAGCGAAAUGCGAUAAGUAAUGUGAAUUGCAGAAUUCAGUGAAUCAUCGAAUCUUUGAACGCACAUUGCGCCCGCUGGUAUUCCGGCGGGCAUGCCUGUUCGAGCGUCAUUUCAACCCUCAAGCUCUCCGGAGUUUGGUGUUGGGGCGCCUGGGGCUUUUCGACCUCAGGGCCCUCAAGUCCAUCGGCGGGACCGCCAGGACACUGGGCGCAGUAGUAUUAUUUCGCUCGGUAGGAUCUUCCACGGCGGGUCGAUCUGGCCGCUAAACCCCCCAAUUCUCACCAAAGGUUGACCUCGGAUCAGGUAGGAAUACCCGCUGAACUUAAGCAUAUCAAUAAGCGGAGGA
rnacentral:misc_RNA from 1 species